rnacentral:rRNA from 1 species
UACGUAGGGGGCGAGCGUUGUCCGGAAUUAUUGGGCGUAAAGAGCGUGUAGGCGGUUCGGUAAGUCUGCCGUGAAAACCUGGGGCUCAACCCCGGGCGUGCGGUGGAUACUGCCGGGCUAGAGGGUGGUAGAGGCGAGUGGAAUUCCUGGUGUAGCGGUGGAAUGCGCAGAUAUCAGGAGGAACACCAAUAGCGAAGGCAGCUCGCUGGGACGGUAUUGACGCUAAGGCGCGAAAGCGUGGGGAGCAAACAGG